rnacentral:rRNA from 1 species
UACAGAGGGUGCAAGCGUUAAUCGGAAUUACUGGGCGUAAAGCGCGCGUAGGUGGUUUGUUAAGUUGGAUGUGAAAGCCCCAGGCUCAACCUGGGAACUGCAUCCAAAACUGGCAAGCUAGAGUACGGUAGAGGGUGGUGGAAUUUCCUGUGUAGCGGUGAAAUGCGUAGAUAUAGGAAGGAACACCAGUGGCGAAGGCGACCACCUGGACUGAUACUGACACUGAGGUGCGAAAGCGUGGGGAGCAAACAGG